CAGGCCCGAGAUAGCUUGCCUAAGGUCACAUAGAAAAUCUAGGCCUAAACCCUGUGGCUCUGAAAUUCCAGUUCUGUCCUCAUCUGUCUGCCAUUACUGCUGUUUCCCUAGCAUGGGGCCUUCACAGGAAAUGAGGACAAUGUUUUGGGGGUCCUAAAGAAGGCAGGUCCUCAAAAACCUAGCGAGCCAUGACAGUCCCAGACCAGCGAGUCUGGAAUCCGCUCACACAAAGGGUAGGGACUUCUGAAUAGCACAGGGUCAGAUUCAUUUGUUUGUUCUAUUCAGGAGGGAAGGCAACAGGGAUUUGCCAGGCUGUGGGGUCAGAAAUCCUGCCUCUGGUCAAAGCAACUCGACCCUUCUUGGUUUCAGUUUUCUUACCUGUAUAAUGGUAACAAGUGCACCACCUCAAAUGGUUUCCUUGAGACUGGACUGAGGUGACCUGUAUCUAGAGGCAUUCAUCAAUAGAAAUAUUAAUGUGAGCCACAUAGGCACUUUUUUCAUUUAUCAGACAAAUAUCAAAAUUUAUGGAACUUAUGCUACUUAUCUGACAUUUUAACUGAGUUAUAAGAUUAACUUUCCAUUUUUGCCAAUACUUUCUCCUCUCCGUAACACCAAGCACAGCCCUUGCCCCAUAAUAGUCAUGCAGCUGGUGAGUUAUAUAAAUAAAAGCACAACAUGGAGUUUUACUACAUUCCCAGAAAAAUCCCAGCAUUUCUAGGCAAUCAAGAGAUGCUCAUGAAGGCCACAGUCACCCCUCCUAAAGGUGGCAGUAACCACCAUUUAUUUCAGUGUCUCUGACACUUAGCCAUCUCUCGCCCUGUGACAAAGCAUCGAUUAUUAUAGUUUUUAUUAUAAGUGUUCAAAUGACCCAGGAGUCACAUUAAGAAAAAGAAAUACUUUUAUCUUAACCCAAACAUCCAAAACAGUAUCUCAUCAACACAUAAUCCCUAUAUGAAAUUAAGAAGAUGUUUUGCUUUUUUUUUUUUUUCCACCACGUCCCCAGAAUCCAGUGCGUAUCCAUUUACUCCUACAGCGCAUCUCAGGCCAUAUGUGGCUGGUUGCAGCUGAAAUGGGAGCGCAGGGGUACACAGAGUUCAGCAGAGUUGCAAUUCUUAAUUUAAGUGGAGAAAGUGCUCUCUGAAUAGUCAGAUCCCUUCACCCCACUCACAAAGUAGGAGGAAGCCAAGUUGAAAUUGUAGGCAGGAUAAGGAGAAACUGAUCAUCCUCUCUCCAGGAGCGAACCAGGUAAUAUUGAACAAAUGGAACGUUCUGGAAGUUUGAAGCCCUGAGCUGGCACAGGCAAUGAAAGAAUGCUCAACUGUACCUGGAGCCCAGGCCUCCUGCUUUGCCAAAAGCAAUGAUGGCAGCUCCCAUCUGCAGCACUUGUUACUGAGCAGACACUAGGCUGGCAACUUCGCACACUGGGCCCCUGUGAUGCUCACUGCCAAGUCUUGAACAGAACUGAUCUCCCUGCAAGAAAGUGAGGCUCAGAGACAUUCAGGGCCUUGUCCAGAAAGGUAGAGGCUGAGCUAGGAAACUCCACCUGAGCAGACAAAGUCAGGGAUGUCGCUGCCCCUUUCACUCCUUGGUGAUGCCUGGAGUAAGGGUACAUGUAGUUGCUGGGCCUGACGAUAUGCUUCUCUGGUCCUGUCAAACAUUCAUAUCUGGUAACGAUCUUUUGAUGAGGGACAGGGUUUCUUGGAAGGAUGAGCAAAACAAACCCUCCUCUUCCCUUUGUAGAUGGAUUAAAAGGUUCCAAAGAGAGAUCUAGCCCCCUCUCCGUUCACUCCCCUUUAUCAAAGAUGCUGUUUUCUUGGUCCUGCAGUGAUAAGCCAAGCUCUGAUUUGCAAAAAUGUAAAAAGGCAAAAGUCUUCCCCAUCAGUAACAUUAGGCUUCCUUGGGCCCUACCACGCAGGUGUUCACUGCAUGCCAGGCAUGGGUGACACAGGGACAGCCCACAGGAUUUUUCAGAUGGAGGUUCCCUUGCACUCGAAAUUAAAUCCAAAUUCCUUUCCAGGCCCAGGGAUCCCCCAGGAUGGGAGCUGCCUAUCCCUCUGGCCUCAAUCUGCUUCUUCAAGCCAAGCUCCCACCCCACUGACCUUUCUGUUCCUUUGAACACCUCCCAGCUCUGGGCUCCGGCAUUUAUUUGCUGCUCCCUCUCUUCUAAGCAUCCUGAGGCUUAGGCUUUCUGGGCCUGGCUCUUUCUUGUCAUUCAGAUUUUAUUUCAAACACUGGCUUUCCCUACAACACGGGCCUACCUGCUCUCUUUUAACCAUAUUCUUUCCCAUCAUCCUGUUUUAUAUUCCUCAUGUACUAUCCAGAACUAUAUUUGCUUGUUUGCAAUGCCAAUAUCAGAACCUCCCAAAUGGUGUCCUGACUCCUCUCUGCUGCAUCCCCUGGGGCCUGGUAUGAUUUUUGUGCACAGUGGGUGCUAGCGAUCCUAUUUGCUGAAUGAACACGUUGAUGUAGCAGAAGGUUAAGCAAAUGGCCCAAGGUACUGAGAAAGGCUCUUAAUUCAAUAGAAGGACAUUCUGAACAGUUUGUCUAUGAAAAAGGCUGUAUCAGAUGGUAGUUACUUCUUCAUCCCGAGAGAGUCAGGCAGAAACCAGAUGUUGAAAGAGGGUCUCAAGAUUUCUAAUGGUGACUGGACAAGAUCACCUGAGAGUCUAGAAAAUAUUUUAAUUAAAAAAGGAGGGGAAGCAGUGAAAUAACCCUUCAAAAUAUUUUAAUUUUCUCCUUAAGUCUUCUUAUUACAUAAUUCACAUCAUGACCUAGAUUUCAAAUGUAAUUAACUACAAUAUAUUCCCUCAGUCCCACCACUGCAACACAUUCAUGGAUAAAGAGAAAUAACUAGAAUAUUCCACGAGAGGUAAAUUUAAUGCAUCAGAAAUAGUGCUGCCUAUAAUCCCUCUGUCUAUGGACACCUUUCCAGCCCCUCAACAAAUACUAGUGGCACAGCUGGCACAGACCAGUAGCUCCUCUUGGAUGGCAAGGAGGCUCAAAAUGCUCAACCACAAGUCCCAUAAGGGAUAUAAUGAAAGGGUUGGAAAGGAAGAGAUUACUAACUGGGUGCUCAGGGUGUUCCAGGCAGUGAGCAUGAGUACACAAAUGAACUCAGAAUUCUAAUACUCGCAACAAAACUAGGAGGUGGUUAUUCUCAUUUUAUCUUCCUUUUUUAAAGCAACAAAAAGGUAAUGUGCAGUAGUGGGGAAAAAAAAAAAGAGCUUUUGCAAUUGGGCAGAUUCAGGAUGGUAUCCUUAUAGCUCUCUGAACUCAGGUAAGUGUCUUCCUUGUCUGAACGGCAGCCCUUUUGAGAAGGGCUCAAAAUACCCCUCUGUAAAAUGGGCAAAACCUACUUCCAUAUGGAGGCCAUCAACAUUAAGUUGGCAUUAAGUUGGUAAGGACAUUUACCCUUGCCAAAUAUAUAGCACAGGGCUUGGCACACAGCAGGCAUUCAACAAAUGUGAAUGGCCUGCCUUUCUCCCCAUGACAGAUAUUCGAUCAAGCUAUUAAAGUUCAACGACCUUCCCAAGGUCACAGACCUAGGAAGUGAGAGAACGAACAUUCCAUGGGCCAUCUCUAAAGCCUGCUGUGCUUCUUUUCCUUUGAGUGGUGGUAUCUCCCUGUGGGCAGCAGGGGAAAUGCAUUCCAGACAGAGGGGAGAGCUUAUCCACGAAGAUGAGAAGAGUAGAAAGGAUGAGAGAGAUUAUACUGCCAGACAAGAACAAGCAUCCAAGGGUGCUGAGUGAUUUAAUUUUCUGGAAUGUACUGAAACCUCAGUAAGAACAACAGAACUGCCGUUUCCAUACCCAACCAAACUUCUGAGCAAUCAACGGAGUAAGUGUUUUUGUUCAACUUUAGGAGUCAAAAACAUCUUCACUUUCACCUUUAAACAACUACUGAAGAGCACAGCGUGGUGGUGUCAAAUUUCCAUCCUUGGCAGGUCAGCUUGGAAACCAAGAAGGAGGAAAUAGAUUCAGCUUGUGCCUGUCAGUCUAUGAAAGGACAGUGAUAUCUCAAGACUUACAUAAAUAUUUAUUUUCUUGAAAUUGCCUGCACAUGACACUCUUCAACAAAUGUUGACACCCGCUUUUGUUUGGAUUUACUUAUGGUAAUUGCUGUGAGGCCUACCUCACAUGGGGUGGAAAGGGUUCAGGGCAGAAAAGACCCAAGGUCAGUCCACAUAAUGUAAAUAAGUUUCCCUGGGUCACAUCGACUGUCUGGGGAAAGGAGGUGUAAUUGGUCCAUUUUCCCCUUGAGAACGAAGAGGACUUUUCGAACGCUGUUUCCUCCAGCCUUACUAUGCUGCCUGGUGUCCACAGCAGUGCUGGGAGUUCUCCCUAUUUAUAAAAGCUUACCUGGAUAACGAACAGAACUCUGGAGAACUGAAGGAAGAAGGUAUCUGGGCAAGCCAGGGAGGGCAGCACGGCGUGACAGGGAUUUGGGGCCACAAUAUUUCUAUCACAGUCUUGUUUCUGAGCCUCUGAGAACUCCACAAAACCAUGAGGAUGAAAAAUGCAACGUGUCCCAUAGGAAGUCUGAAGCCAGUUCACAUAAGAUUCUUCUCCAAGGAGAUGAAAGAUUAGGGCCAAAGGACCUGAAUGAAUAGUUGCUGGUAGGGGGUGAGUACAGUGUCCUUCCCAGGAGCUCGGGAUGCCCCAUUGUAAUUGCCUAGCACAGUGCUUUUCAAACUCAGACGUGCACACCGGUCCCCUGGAGAUAUAGUUCAAAAUGCAGAUUCUGAUCCAGGAGGUCUGGAGAGAGGCCCAAGAGUCUGUAUUUCUAACAAGCUCCCUGGGGGAGCUGGCCUGGCCACCCUAAGCCCUUAGAAUGGUAAGGACCCCAUGAGUUCCAAAUGCCCGGGGCCCAUUCAGGUUCAGAUACUAUUCGCCAUGGCCUUGGGCCGGGGACGGCCAAUGUUCCUUUGGUUUUUGUUUCUUCCUAUUGUUGGGGCAGUUUGUUUUUAAUUCCAGGACUGGAAACUAUUCAUGGUAGACAAAAUAGAGAGGGACCAGCCUGGCUACAGAGGUGGAAUUAGCUGCAGAGGGGGUUAGAGGGAACAUGCUGAAAUUAACAGAGGAUUUAGAGCCAAAAACGCUGGUUCAAACCACAGCUCUAUAAUUUCAAAUCCACAAGACAGCAUUGAAACUUGGAGCCUUAGAUCCAAUGCACUGGCUCUAUAUACUAAUUGCAAGGAUUAACUAAAACGCUCUAUGUGGAUGCUGAAGAUAUUGCCAUAUUGCCUGGCCCAUGGCAAGCCCUCAAAUCAUGGUAGCUAUUUUUGUCCCUAAAAAAAAAAAAAGAAAGGCUGUGGGGUAUAAAUGGGAUCUGGGGAUGAUAAUUAGUCAAACACAUUUGUUCAUGAUCCAAAGUACUGCAGUGACUCAACCAAAGAGGAGCUCAAGGAAGAGAGGACAGUGACAUGCAGAAAGGUUCCUGGCUGUCUGUCUGGGAAGGGGCCAUGCAGUGGGUCCUCCCUCAACACCCCCUGCACCUGCACGAGCGAGGAGUGGCCAGGUGUGUGCAGCGGUGAGGCCCCAGCGAGAGAAGAGGAGGAGGAGCUGCUCAACGUGUUUAAUCUGCCUGGCUGUGCACAGAAGGCAGCAGUGACCUAAAUAAAUCCUUCAUUAGAAGCAGAAACACGCUGGCACAGGCAGUACAUGGCGCAGCUCUGUGACAGGAGGGCGGAUGGGGCCUCUCUUAUUACUCGGCGCAGCUGAGUGGAAAGGGGCCGUGCUGGUAGGCAGAAGGCAGGGAGGCCCACUGCCUUGACGUACCUGGGGGUGUGCAGCUUCAGUCUCUGCUCCAGGUGGGCUCACCCCCACCCCCAACAGGGGUCAUGUGACUGUGGGAGCUUCUGAGCCCAGAGAGUCAUCACCGCCCCCCACCCCCAACAGGUGAUGAGCAGCCACAAAUCCCUAGCAUGUCCCCCAGAAAUAGCCAGCAAACACACAGGGUAUCAGAAGCCCAAGGGCCAUGUGCCAUCAUCUUGUCUGGUCCUUAUCCCUGCAGGAUGGGUAAGGUAGGAGGAGCAUGGGAACCUCAAGGUCAAGAGUGCAGAGGCUAAACCAACUUGGAAAUCCAGGUCUCCUGUUUCCCACCCCAGCAGACAUGAGACACAUGGAAAUCUGUGCAUCUCUUGUGUUAGGGCAGAGGACAUUAGGAUAAUCUGGGGCUGGAAAUAAAUGUGAGCAAACAAAGGAAAUUCUUCCCCUAGACGCAAAGUGGAGGGGGGAUUUACCUCAUUUCUUAAGCCAGUUUAUAUGGACUGAGUGUCUGUGUUCCUUCAAAAUUCAUAUGUUGAAGUCUUAAUCCACAAUGGGAU
rnacentral:lncRNA from 1 species